GCGUCCUUAGCUCAGUUGAAUAGAGCAAUAGAUUUCUAAUCUGUGGGUCAGAGGUUUGAGUCCUCUAGGACGCGCCA
rnacentral:tRNA from 9 species